UGUGUGUGUACGCAGGGCUGGGAGGAAAUUAAACUGGAACCGGCACAAAGAUCUUUGAAAGCACCGUGUAUCGUGCCCCGCUCUUGGGUUCUGUAAAUCACGGCCUGCCAGAUGCUAACCUGAUACAGUCCCCACGUGCACCUCCCUGCUCCAGGAGCCUUAUUCCAUGGGGAAACCAUCAACUUCCAGCAUUCCCAGGUAUGAUAGGCACAACAGCUCUGCCUCCUCUGCUGCCUGUGCUCACGUCCCUCACCAAGCUUUUCCUACAUCAAACCCAAGCUUUCCCAGGGCACCAGUGGAGAAAAAGCAAACCAGCACCCUUCCCAUCCCAAAAAUGUUGGAGUUGUCUUCUCCAGCUGCAUCUGUCUCUCUCCACUGAUGAAAAAUACUCCCACGUGACUGGUUGUGACUAAACACCUGACAAAAUCAAAGGAUUUCACUUUCAGACCUGGAAGAUAAAUCUCAUUAAAUUAAAGAAAACAAUCUGGUAAGAAUGAAA